ensembl:snRNA U2 U2 spliceosomal RNA
AUCCUUCUUGACCUUUUGGCGAAUCUGUUCUUAUCGAUUUACAACUUGCUAUCUGAUAUUUCCUCUAUAUGAGGACAAUAUAGUUAAUGGAUUUUUGAAGAAGGGAAAGGGAACAGGAGUUUUCUCCAUCCACUCCACGCAUCCACCUGGUACUGCAGUACUUUUAGGAACAGGGCAACAAAA